GGAAUCUUGCGCAAUGGGCGAAAGCCUGACGCAGCGACACCGCGUGAGGGAUGAAGGUCUUCGGAUUGUAAACCUUUGUCAGUGGGGACGAGAACGGACGGUACCCGCUGAGGAAGCAUCGGCUUACUACGUGCCAGCAGCCGCGGUAAUACGUAGGAUGCGAGCGUUGUCCGGAAUUACUGGGCGUAAAGAGCUCGUAGGCGGGAAGAUACGUUUGGGAGUAAAUCUCACAGCUUAACUGUGAGUCUUUCCUGAAUACGGUCUUUCUUGAGGUCAGCAGGGGAGAAUGGAAUUCCCAGUGUAGCGGUGAAAUGCGUAGAUAUUGGGAAGAAUACCAGUGGCGAAGGCGAUUCUCUGGGCUGUCUCUGACGCUGAGGAGCGAAAGCGUGGGUAGCGAACG
rnacentral:rRNA from 1 species